rnacentral:misc_RNA from 1 species
GGGAAUCAUCAAGCAACUGGACUAUUUGCAAAAUGCACCAGUGAUCCCCUAGGUUUCGACACAUCUGAAAGUGCAGGUACAUAUGGUGUGGGUUAUUCUGGAGACUUGGCUGGUCAUGAGAGUAACAAUGCAAGUCCAACUCGUGAUAGUGGAGAAUCAUUGAACCCAAGUGGUCCAAUUCGUGAUGGUGGAGACUCAUCUACUCGAAGUGGUGCAAGAAGGAAGAGAGGGCGCAUGAUGAUGGAAGAUGAGGAUCCAUUGAUAUGCACUGUCACUGAAGCUUUUAAGACUCUUUCAGAUGCAAUCAAGCAGUCAGCACCACAACCACGUCCGAUAAUCCCACCCAACCUAUGGACUAUGAUGAAAC